rnacentral:rRNA from 3 species
GUUUGUUUGGAGUUAUAAAGAAUUUAACCUGCCCCCUGAUUAACUACUAAUUAAAGGGCCGCAGUAUUAUAACUGUGCAAAGGUAGCAUAAUCAUUAGGUUUUUAAUUGAAAUCUCGUAUGAAUGGUUGGACAAAAGAAAGACUCUCUUUAUAUUAAGUUUUGAAUUUAACUUUUAAGUGAAAAGGCUUAAAUAUUCUAAAGGGACGAUAAGACCCUAUAAAACUUUACAUUGUCAUUAAUUUUGAUUGAAUUUAUGAAAUAAAAAUUUUAUUUGAUUAUUUGUUAUGUUGGGGAGACAUAAGUAAAAUAUUUUUUUAACUGCUUGAUAGUUAUACAAUUAUUAGUGAAUAAGUAGAAGAUCCUUUUUAAGAUUAGUAGAUUAAGUUACUUUAGGGAUAACAGUGUAAUUUCUUUUGAGAGUUCUUAUCGAAAAAGAAGGUUGCAACCUCGAUGUUGAAUUAAAAUAUCUAUAUAAUGGAGAGGUUAUAUAAGAAGGUCUGUUCGACCUUGAAAAUUUUACAUGAUUUGAGUUCAAACCGGUGUAAG